ACACAUGCAGUCGAGCGGAUGAGAGAGCUUGCUCUCUGAUUCAGCGGCGGACGGGUGAGUAAUGCCUAGGAAUCUGCCUGGUAGUGGGGGACAACGUUUCGAAAGGAACGCUAAUACCGCAUACGUCCUACGGGAGAAAGUGGGGGAUCUUCGGACCUCACGCUAUCAGAUGAGCCUAGGUCGGAUUAGCUAGUUGGUGAGGUAACGGCUCACCAAGGCGACGAUCCGUAACUGGUCUGAGAGGAUGAUCAGUCACACUGGAACUGAGACACGGUCCAGACUCCUACGGGAGGCAGCAGUGGGGAAUAUUGGACAAUGGGCGAAAGCCUGAUCCAGCCAUGCCGCGUGUGUGAAGAAGGCCCUCGGGUCGUAAAGCACUUUAAGCUAGGAGGAAGGGCUGUAACCUAAUACGUUGCAGCUUUGACGUUACCAGCAGAAUAAGCACCGGCUAACUCUGUGCCAGCAGCCGCGGUAAUACAGAGGGUGCAAGCGUUAAUCGGAAUUACUGGGCGUAAAGCGCGCGUAGGUGGCUUGGUAAGUUGAAUGUGAAAUCCCCGGGCUCAACCUGGGAACUGCAUCCAAAACUGCCUGGCUAGAGUACGGUAGAGGGUGGUGGAAUUUCCUGUGUAGCGGUGAAAUGCGUAGAUAUAGGAAAGGACACCAGUGGCGAAAGCGACCACCUAGACUGAUACUGACACUGAGUGCGAAAGCGUGGGGAGCAAACAGGAUUAGAUACCCUGG
rnacentral:rRNA from 1 species